rnacentral:rRNA from 1 species
CCUACGGGAGGCAGCAGUGAGGAAUAUUGGACAAUGGGCGCAAGCCUGAUCCAGCCAUGCCGCGUGCAGGAAGACGGUCCUAUGGAUUGUAAACUGCUUUUAUACAGGAAGAAACACCUCUACGUGUAGAGACUUGACGGUACUGUAUGAAUAAGCAUCGGCUAACUCCGUGCCAGCAGCCGCGGUAAUACGGAGGAUGCGAGCGUUAUCCGGAAUCAUUGGGUUUAAAGGGUCCGUAGGCGGUUUAAUAAGUCAGUGGUGAAAGCCCAUCGCUCAACGAUGGAACGGCCAUUGAUACUGUUAAACUUGAAUUAUUAGGAAGUAACUAGAAUACGUAGUGUAGCGGUGAAAUGCUUAGAGAUUACAUGGAAUACCAAUUGCGAAGGCAGGUUACUACUAAUAUAUUGACGCUGAUGGACGAAAGCGUGGGGAGCGAACAGGAUUAGAUACCCUGGUAGUCCACGCCGUAAACGAUGGAUACUAGCUGUUCGGAGCAAUCUGAGUGGCUAAGCGAAAGUGAUAAGUAUCCCACCUGGGGAGUACGUUCGCAAGAUGAAACUCGAAAGGAAUUGACGGCUGAGACGNGACGACGGACGACGACGAGGGAGGAGG